UCAUUUUGNGCUUAUGUGCAACACAGAGA
rnacentral:piRNA from 1 species